UCUCCCACCUGGGUGGUAGGGACCCAAGUAAUUCAGCCAUCAACUGAUGCCUCCCAGGGUGAGCAUUAGCAGGAAGUUGUAUAGGAAGUGGAGGUGUUAUUGGAAUCCAGGCACUUUGCACAUUUGCAUUUAAUGUGUAUAAUAUCUGGUCUCCUAGGCUUUACAUUAGAGAAGAAAACAAAUUAUAUAUGAAUCUAUAGUGUCUCAUAAUUUCCUAAGGUGGCCACAGUGAAUUAGGUUAAUGGGAAGCUGAAUCUAUAUAAUGUCAUAAUCCAUAUUUAUAUUGUACCAUAAAUGUAUGACUUUUGUAGAAACAAACAACCAUAACACCAAACAUCUGGAUGAAAUCUGAAAAUUUCAGUGACAUAUCCAGAUAUCUCUACACAUCUGGAAUUUUUAGAUUUAAUGUUCCAACUGCUUCCAUUUUUGUCUGGGCACUUGAAACACUGUAGACACUGUCUAACAAAUAUUUAUUCACAUCAUAAAUAUGUGAAAACAUGGAAAGAAUCAUUGUACAAAUACAAUUUUCAGAUUUAAUCAUAUUCCAGUGACUAAAGUGGCUCUGGCAGUUAAUGUAGACAACCCAAUGUCAACAGGCCCUGCAGACUUAACCAAGUAGUUCAGCGGCAAAGUGGGGAGUUGAAGUGAAGAAUUCAAACCAAGAAUGCUUUAAGGCCAUGCUUAGAUUAUUCUAGGAAUGUCUGGCAAUGACAUAAUCUCCUUCUCCUGUCCACACUGAGUUUGAUUGUAUGACUUUCUCUGGACAAUGAAACUAAAUUAGCAAAUAUGAUCCAAGCAAAGACUUGAGAAACCUUCCAUGUUGCAGCUUUCCCUCUCAGAGCUCCUGGAAAUGCUUCUACAACCACCUGAAGAUUGGGAUUCCAGCCUAUCCUGGUAGAAGAUGGAAACACACACAACAGAAAUGCAUUGUUUUAGUGGAGGCCCAGUCAGCUCAUAGUCAACCCAUCAGCCAAGUGCAGAUUCAUGAGGAAGGCAGGUACUGCUGGCAAUAAAACUGGCCAAGUAAUUCCAGUCCAAAUCUGAUGCACAAGAUUGUGAGUGAAUUACAGCUCAGUAUCCAUUAAGAUCCAGCAAUGUGUAGAGUGGUUUAUUAUACAGCAUUGGCUUAAGAUCAUGGCAUUGAAAAGGGACUUCAAAGAAGUGAAUAAAGUUGUGUGUGCAUGUAUGUGUACAUAUGUAGAUAUAUCAUA